AUCCAGCUGACGAGUCUCAAACAGGACGAAACUCGCAUCGUGAAU
rnacentral:hammerhead_ribozyme from 1 species